AGUGAACGCUGGCGAUAGGCCUAACACAUGCAAGUCGAACGGCAGCACAGUAAGAGCUUGCUCUUACGGGUGGCGAGUGGCGGACGGGUGAGGAAUACAUCGGAAUCUACUUUUUCGUGGGGGAUAACGUAGGGAAACUUACGCUAAUACCGCAUACGACCUACGGGUGAAAGCAGGGGAUCUUCGGACCUUGCGCGAUUGAGUGAGCCGAUGUCGGAUUAGCUAGUUGGCGGGGUAAAGGCCCACCAAGGCGACGAUCCGUAGCUGGUCUGAGAGGAUGAUCAGCCACACUGGAACUGAGACACGGUCCAGACUCCUACGGGAGGCAGCAGUGGGGAAUAUUGGACAAUGGGCGCAAGCCUGAUCCAGCCAUACCGCGUGGGUGAAGAAGGCCUUCGGGUUGUAAAGCCCUUUUGUUGGGAAAGAAAAGCAGCAGGUUAAUACCCCGCUGUUCUGACGGUACCCAAAGAAUAAGCACCGGCUAACUUCGUG
rnacentral:rRNA from 1 species